rnacentral:rRNA from 1 species
UGUUCCUGUUGUCGUGCCAGCGGCAUCGCAGGGUAGCUAAGUCCGGUUUGGAUAAGCGCUGAAAGCAUAUAAGCGCGAAGCCGUCCACAAGAUUAGAAUUCGUUAUAGAUCCCUGGGAGACUACCAGGUUGAUAGGCUCUAUGUGUAAGUGCAGCAAUGCACUAAGCAGAGGAGUACUAAUAGAUCAAAGU